rnacentral:tRNA from 1 species
GCAUUGGCGGUUCAGUGGUAGAAUUCUUGCCUCUCACACGGGAGACCUAGGUUCAAUCCCCAGCCAAAGCA